GAUGUCACGUGACCCGAGGGUGCGAGACAACCCCAGACCUGCAGGUUCAACAACUAGGAAGGCCAUCAACGUCUCGCUGGUCAGCAGAGAAAAUACGCGUCUACGUGACCAGAUAAGACCAGUGGACAAAGGAUGACCGUUCACCUGUCUUAAACCGCGUGACCCACAGGUAAUUGUGGUCAUUCCAACACUCAUUCCUCAUCUUGAUUGUAUACAGAAUGGUCGACGGUUAUUUUGGAGGGGUUUCCACGGCCAUCCUAGUGACCAUCUUUGUGUUAGGCUGUAUGUUUUGGGCGAUGCUAAGACGAUGCGGCCAGUGGAGGGAUGGUAAAUGGACCCGAAGAGACUGGAGAAACCGCCCCCCUCCCCCUGCCCCACGUUACCCAGCGGGAUCACCCCCCACAAGUCACGUAUACCAACAGGAUGUGCAAAGUGACGCAUUUCCGGUUGUAACCGGAAGUGGGCAAAAUUUCAACUCUGGAGACAUUUCAUCGACUCGAAAUCCCGCUGCGUACUUCGAUCACGCAUGCUCUGGAAAUGUGUUUAUUAUUUCAGCUGAAAACAUGUUUCCUUCCCCUCCUGCAUAUUCAAGGUCGACACAGCCUGAUCCUCCCCCGCCGUAUGCGCCGUGAACGGCAUGGACGGGUGUAAUGGGUUCCUGUUUACGUGACAUAUCAUUGACUGUAUUGUCCAAUCGGCAACUUACUAACCAGAUAAGGGAUGCAAGAGAAUGGUCAUGAUCGACUGGUGUCUGAUGUUAUGCGGAUGUUUCCACAGCUGUGUUGCAGUCCGCAAAUGUAACAUAUUGUUUGCAGAGUGUUGUGCUUCAUAAAAUAACUGACAUGUCAAUAUCUGCAGAUGAAAUGUGACCCCCGAGGAACUUAGAAGCAUAACUGGUCAUCAUGACCCAUGCAUGUCGUAAGUGCCGAUCUCUGAAGUUCAACGUGACCACAACACGAUUGUAUGUUUUCAUUCCGAAACGGCGUGGUUCUAUAAGUUUGCUCAGGUUAUCAACCACUGGCUUGCCUGGUCCAGAUUCGAUAAUUUACAUCUGACCUGAUACAACUGGAAUAUUGACUCCCACCUGCGAAUUAUACGACUACAGUUACAAUGACCUCAGACCCGUGAAGAUCCUGGUUUAGAAUAGGUCUUCAGCAACCAAUACUUGCUUUAAGAGGCAACUAUGUUUCUCGUAAGAAGCGACUAACGGGAUCGGGUGGUCAGGCUCGCAGACAUGGUUGAUGCAUGUCAUCGUAUCCAAACUCCCUAGAUCGAUGGUCAUAAUGUCCUUCACUGGGUUGUCUAUUCCAGACAUGAUUAUAUACAGACCGUCGUCAUGUAGCUGGAAUAUUGCUGAGUGCGGUGUUUAACACCAAACAAACAACAAUAUCCUCCGUGGAGUAUUCGACAAAUACUCAUAAGCUGCGUAGAGGUAGCAAAUUGAAUGUUAAUAUUUGUUUUGUGAGUAAUUUACAGCCCUGUCACCCCAACCAUUUAUACCUGUCUGACUCUUAUCGGUUACCGACAGACGUAAGUCCCUUGAUAUACUGGAGUGUCCAGAUACAGGGCUUCAGGUACGGUAUGUGCACCGUAUGAGCUUGUUGGUUGUAUCUCGCUUCCUUGAAGAUGAUAUUCCUAAAUAAUUAGGGUCAAAUUGCUGUUAGAUGAAGCUGCUCGAACUGACUUUGUUUAUCCAUUAUUGGGAUUGAAGUUUCAACCAACCAGGCGAGUGAGUGAGUGAGUGAGUGAGUGAGUGAGUUAGUAGAUUUCUUUUGCGUCGCUGUCACCUACGUCACAAGCGUCGGUAACAGACAGCGUGCAACGUUUAUGUAUCCGUGUUACACAAACAAUUUGAACAAAAGCAUUAUAUUGUACUGAGCUGACACUCACCACUUAUCAUCAAGGGGAAGGUCAUUGUGUUAACAUCACUGUAUAACAAUGCAAACAUUCUUUUAAAAAGUAGAAAUGAAUGAUCAAGCUUCACCACCUAACGAGAAAUCAUAAUAUAACCUCUAUAUCACCUCUGGUACAUGUUUAGAUGAACAUUGCAAUGCGUAUAAUAUGGUCUAUAUGUAUGUCUAUUCUCAUUAGCCUCGAAGGUCCCACUUCAUCAUGUACAGUGGAACCUUCUUAGUCCGGACCCGUGUUAAUCUGGAAAACCCUUAUUCUGGACGCUUUUGGUUGGAACGAAUGUAUAAACUGCCAGGCCUCGAAGGUCCCACUUCAUCAUAUACAGUGGAACCUUCUUAGUCCGGACCCGUGUUAAUCUGGAAAACCCUUAUUCUGGACGCUUUUGGUGGGAACGAAUGUAUAAACUGCCAGGCCUCGAAGGUCCCACUUCAUCAUAUACAGUGGAACCUUGUUAGUUCUGACCCGUGUUAAUCUGGAAAAUCCUUAUUCUGGACGCUUUUGAUGGGAACGAAUGUAUAAACUGCCAGGCAAAAGAAAGUAUUCAUUUGAACGCAGUCGCCGCAACACUGUAAGGUCCAAAACACAGCUAAGAUACCCGUAUCUAAUGCAUCCCCAUCGAAUUACUUCUUUUUUGUUUAUUUUUUGUCCAACUUCAAACGUGGAUGUAAACUUUCUCUUGUCCGGAAGUUUAUAUAUUGAGGAAUAUUUCGUUUAUCCGGACAUGUGUUACCCUGUCAAUUUCCCUGGCAGCAGGAAGGUCUGGUUUAACGGGUCGCAGAGAUUCUUUGGACUGUCCUAUCUAUGCUGUCUGCAUGGCAUCAUCGGGCAUUGCUGUGAUAAACGCCAUUGGAAUAUUAUGUACAGCCCUGUCUGUUGAACUGAAACUGUUAACUUUGGCCGUGUGCCUUUAAGGCUUCCAACGUACAUCUCAUUACUUGGACAUUGAUCUUUUCAUCCCAUUUUGUCGCAUGAUACAUUGUGUCCUCAUAUCCAUCAUGUACAUAGCCAUCAUGUACAUAGCCGUCAUGUACAUAGCCGUCAUGUUGAAAUGUAUUCUUUCAUCAGUUAUACACACACCUCUUAAUAAUGACCUUUUGAAACCCAUUUUUCAUUUUCUACGAAUAAACUAUUUUUGAUGA